UAUCUCUCUCUUCUUCUCUCAGACGUCAUCCUCUCUUCUUCACCUUGGUCAUCACCUGCAAAUUCCUUCCUCACCAAUCCCUCAAAAUCAAGCACAUGCAUGAAUGAAAAUCAUAAACCCAUCAUCAAAGAAACCCAUUUCCAGUAAUAUUUUGCUCUAAUUCUCCAUUUUCCCUCCUGUUUAGAAUCAAACCAAAAACCCCCACAUUUCUAUUCUUCAAACCCUCCUAUUGCAUGUACGAAAUUCUCAUGAAAAUCAAGCUUUGGAUGUCUAGAAACUGAGGGUGGACCCUGCAGGUUUGACAUAGCCAUACAAACCGGUAAGUGAGAUGUUCGGAACAUGAGGGUCGUCUUUUCAUGUCACUCUGAUUCCCUGGAGGCUUAGGAGCACUUAAAGAAACUGAUUUUAAACAUUUGGUUUGAAGUAGGAGAGCUUGGAAAGAAAUUGAAGAAUAAGCAUAAGCUGAAGCAAGAAUGUAGGAGCUUGAGACUUAAAGUUUGGAGAUAAGCUAGUGAAGGCAAGGUCUCUGUGAUGUUUAUGCAUAUUGGGCUGACAAGAACAAGUAGGAAAUUGGAUUUAGGGGACUGGAGAAGACAGAAGCAAGAGCUUGGCAGACAGAGGCUUAAGUUGAAGGUGGAGCUUAAGCUGUUGAAAGUGGUUAGAUAAGUCGCGAGUCCCAUGAGUUAAACGUGUAAACCUAUGGAUUGGAGACAAAGAAGAGACAUGAAAUUGCAUGCAUAAAGUUGUUGAACAGACAAAUGCAGAAAUACAGAAGAAGAAAUUAUGGAUUUUACAUAUCUUGUAUAGAAGACUACAUACCAAUAACAAAAUUUGUUGAUUUAUAUCCUCCAAUGGACCACUUGCAUCAUCACAAAUUUAGAGCAUGGAGCACAAUUAUGGAGAUAAAUCUCAGAAUGAAGGACAAAUUUAUAGAUAUGCAUAAAUAAUAGAAAGAAAAAACAACAGCAGUUCACUUAGCGAAGAGAGUAUGAAGGGUUCAAGUGAUUCACAUACCAAAGAGAGCGUAUGGAGGGUUCAGGGGAUGGAAUGCACUUCAACAAAGGCAACAUGUAUAUAUAGAAAAAUAUAAAUCCAAAUAAGACAAACUUGCAUAGUAGGUUUGUAACCUAUAUUGUAGCUUUGUAGGUAUUAUAUGAGGAAGGCUUAUUUAGCAAAGUGGAUGAAAAAAAAGACAACCAUUGCAAGUGGAUGUUGAUUAAUUUGAAAAAUGCCCAAUGCGGGAAGCCUACCAUAUCAUUUUACAUACAAAAACAAAGAUAUUAUAUUAUAAUUUAUUCGUGUUUGAACAGUGGUCUUUUGAGAUGACUGUUGUUAAGAUUAUUGAUAAGUUUGUUUUUUAC